rnacentral:rRNA from 1 species
GAAGCAUGAUCGUAAGGACAUGUGGAGCGCUUAGAAGUGAGAAUGCCGGUGUGAGUAGCGAAAGACGGGUGAGAAUCCCGUCCACCGAUUGACUAAGGUUUCCAGAGGAAGGCUGGUCCGCUCUGGGUUAGUCGGGUCCUAAGCUGAGGCCGACAGGCGUAGGCGAUGGAUAACAGGUUGAUAUUCCUGUACCACCUAUAAUCGUUUUAAUCGAUGGGGGGACGCAGUAGGAUAGGCGAAGCGUGCGAUUGGAUUGCACGUCUAAGCAGUAAGGCUGAGUAUUAGGCAAAUCCGGUACUCGUUAAGGCUGAGCUGUGAUGGGGAGAAGACAUUGAGUCUUCGAGUCGUUGAUUUCACACUGCCGAGAAAAGCCUCUAGAUAGAAAAUAGGUGCCCGUACCGCAAACCGACACAGGUAGUCAAGAUGAGAAUUCUAAGGUGAGCGAGCGAACUCUCGUUAAGGAACUCGGCAAAAUGACCC